AACGAACGCUGGCGGCAGGCUUAACACAUGCAAGUCGAGCGCCCCGCAAGGGGAGCGGCAGACGGGUGAGUACCGCGUGGGAAUCUACCCAUCUCUACGGAAUAACGCAUGGACACGUGUGCUAAUACCGUAUACGUCCUUCGGGAGAAAGAUUUAUCGGAGAUGGAUGAGCCCGCGUUGGAUUAGCUAGUUGGUGGGGUAAAGGCCUACCAAGGCGACGAUCCAUAGCUGGUCUGAGAGGAUGAUCAGCCAAACUGGGACUGAGACACGGCCCAGACUCCUACGGGAGGCAGCAGUGGGGAAUAUUGGACAAUGGGCGCAAGCCUGAUCCAGCCAUGCCGCGUGAGUGAUGAAGGCCCUAGGGUUGUAAAGCUCUUUCACCGGUGAAGAUAAUGACGGUAACCGGAGAAGAAGCCCCGGCUAACUUCGUGCCAGCCGCCGCAGUAACAC
rnacentral:rRNA from 1 species